rnacentral:lncRNA from 1 species
GAUAGGGGAGUCUGGAGGUCUAGAAUCAGGGUUGUAGGUUAGGGGCUCCUAGAGUCCUUCGCACGUCAGUAGGUUUUCUCAUAGAUGAUUUGUGUGUUGGCGUGUGCCCUCCUGUGGCUGUUAGUUAUGGUAGUUACUGUACGAUUUUAUUGCUUGCGAUUGUAUUUAUGUUUCUUAUUUUUAGUUAAUGAUUUUCACUAUUUUCUGCGGGAGUCACUAAUGCUUUUUGUUUUUGUUUUUGUUUUGUUUUACAGCUGUUUUUCCUUUUGUCCUAUGCGCCGAGGGUCGNNN